rnacentral:rRNA from 1 species
UGGGGAAUUUUGGACAAUGGGGGAAACCCUGAUCCAGCCAUCCCGCGUGUGCGAUGAAGGCCUUCGGGUUGUAAAGCACUUUUGGCAGGAAAGAAACGUCGUGGGUUAAUACCCCGUGAAACUGACGGUACCUGCAGAAUAAGCACCGGCUAACUACGUGCCAGCAGCCGCGGUAAUACGUAGGGUGCAAGCGUUAAUCGGAAUUACUGGGCGUAAAGCGUGCGCAGGCGGUUCGGAAAGAAAGAUGUGAAAUCCCAGAGCUCAACUUUGGAACUGCAUUUUUAACUACCGGGCUAGAGUGUGUCAGAGGGAGGUGGAAUUCCGCGUGUAGCAGUGAAAUGCGUAGAUAUGCGGAGGAACACCGAUGGCGAAGGCAGCCUCCUGGGAUAACACUGACGCUCAUGCACGAAAGCGUGGGGAGCAAACAGG